UACGUAGGGGGCAAGCGUUGUCCGGAUUUAUUGGGCGUAAAGAGCGUGUAGGCGGUUAGGUAGGUCCGUUGUGAAAACUCGAGGCUCAACCUCGAGACGCCGAUGAAAACCCCUAACCUAGAGUCCGGAAGAGGAGAGUGGAAUUCCUGGUGUAGCGGUGAAUGCGCAGAUAUCAGGAAGAACACCCGUGGCUAAGGCGGCUCUCUAGUACGGUACUGACGCUGAGACGCGAAAGCGUGGGGAGCGAACAGG
rnacentral:rRNA from 1 species